AAUAGCCAAAGUGAAAGAUCUAACUACUCAACAUACAAGUACUAUGAUUAACUUUAAAUCAUAUACAUGCAUACUACUUUAAUCAAGUUCUUUUACAUUCUUUUUCAUCAUAUCUUUUUACAUCUCAUUACUCCAAAAUACAACCUUUGACAUUGGAAAUAAACAUCUUUUACAUCAUUCUCUUAAGCAUCUAGAAUCAUCAAAUACAAAACAUGAUAGUAAAAGGAAUGUCAAGUUCAAUCCAUUCCUUAACUAUAAGGAAACAAUGUACAUAUAACCCUUAACUCUAAGGUUGCUAUGUCAUAAUGUCACAAUCACUCUUUUACUUGCAUUCUUUGCUUUUGCUAGUAUCAUAUACACUACUUUGUACUCACACACACAUGCCACACUUGUUCUCUAAGUGUUCAAUUCUAGCAUUCUUGACUCAACAAUGCCACUCUCUACAUUCAUGUCCACAUGUCAAAUUUGUUUUCUAAGUCCACUAAGUUCUUGUCAU
rnacentral:lncRNA from 1 species